UGAGGAAUAUUGGUCAAUGGGGGCAACCCUGAACCAGCCAAGUCGCGUGAAGGAUGAAGGUCUUAUGGAUUGUAAACUUCUUUUAUACAGGAAUAAAUUGGGGGACGUGUCCCCUUUUGCAUGUACUGUAUGAAUAAGGAUCGGCUAACUCCGUGCCAGCAGCCGCGGUAAUACGGAGGAUCCGAGCGUUAUCCGGAUUUAUUGGGUUUAAAGGGUGCGCAGGCGGGAUGUUAAGUCGGCGGUGAAAUUUUGCAGCUCAACUGUAAAAGUGCCUUCGAUACUGGCCUCCUUGAGUGUGGAUGAAGUAGGCGGAAUUUGUGGUGUAGCGGUGAAAUGCUUAGAUAUCACGAGGAACUCCGAUUGCGCAGGCAGCUUACUAAGCCACAACUGACGCUCAUGCACGAAGGCGUGGGGAUCAAACA
rnacentral:rRNA from 1 species